rnacentral:rRNA from 1 species
CCUUUGACGUUAGCGGCGGACGGGUGAGUAACACGUGGGUAACCUACCUAUAAGACUGGGAUAACUUCGGGAAACCGGAGCUAAUACCGGAUAAUAUUUCGAACCGCAUGGUUCGAUAGUGAAAGAUGGUUUUGCUAUCACUUAUAGAUGGACCCGCGCCGUAUUAGCUAGUUGGUAAGGUAACGGCUUACCAAGGCGACGAUACGUAGCCGACCUGAGAGGGUGAUCGGCCACACUGGAACUGAGACACGGUCCAGACUCCUACGGGAGGCAGCAGCU